UUAAUCAUUAAUAAGAUACCACAUAGAUAAAUAUAUACGCAUGUAUCUAUAUAUCAUACAAUUAUACUAUUCGCUAGAUACAUAUAUUAUCGAAUACACAGUUUAACCGGGUCUUUCCCGAAUUCGAAGGAAGAUAUGUAUUCAAAUUCAAAUGGAUUAUUCCAGUGAAUCUUUAUCCAAAUCCGACCCGCAACUAACCAAUUCGUUUCAGAUUACUUGUCCUUGUGUAUUAAUUCCAGGAAUCCGAAUGUGCUAAAACUCUGGUGAAACACGUAAGAACAAAUUAUUUUGACACAAAUUGUGGGCUUUUCUUUCUGCCCCUCAGUUACAAUUUACAAACACAACAACAUGAGUCGGACUCUCGGUAGUCUCCAAAGACAUGGGCUCAGCGGAAUGCAGCUACGUUAAAUAUAAGAUACUAGUCUUAUGUCAUUUAUUUUAAGAAGAUGAUCCAACCAACCAUGAUGCAGUAAGACAAGCUUAGUACAACCCCCAUAGCGGCAUAGUACGAGUCUAUUUUGGCAACUGUAAACCUCAUAUUUAAUUUCUUUAUUGGUUAGUCAAUAUUGGUAUUAUACAGAAGGUCCUCUCAACAAUUGAAACCGUUCUUUUCAGUCACAUACUGCAUAUCUUCAAUUUUGUUGUUGAUUAAUAGUGUUGCAUAUCUUCAAUUAUUUUUUGAUUAAUAGUGUCGCUUACAAAUUUUACAACAAGCCGAAUAAGCUCUUCGCAUUAUAUCUACAGGUCAAAAUAAAAGGGCACCUGCUGCCUCUGUCUCUUCGCUCCUGAUUUAUCAAACACAGCCAGUGCUAACUUUAUCAUCGGGGUGUACACUUGCGUUCCGACCCGAGAAUACGACUAACCGAUUCGUUUCAGAAGAUACUUGAGCCAAGAUGAGAGCUAUGUUGUAGCCUCAUACUACACCGUGGAUCCAGGAGAUGGAGAAGCACCGAUGUUGGUUAUGGAGCAGUACCGAUGGUGGUCAUGAACUAUAGCAGUAAGUGGAUGAAGCAUCGUUGGUCGACUGGUCAUACGAUGAUCGAUGAAGCAUGAUGAAGCCGAGAUGGAUCGACGAUGGAGAGGAGGAGCGUCGAUAGAAGGUUCGCCGCCACAGAUGGAGCAGCGAUGGUGAAAGCUUGCCUCGCCUGAGAUGGAGCAGCAUCGACGAUGGAAGGAGGCAAGGGAACGGAGAUGGAUUUGAAGCAAGGAACGACGGUGAAUAGUGCGUUCGCGAGAAGACGAUAGAUAGAUGAUGAGUUAGGUUAGGUUAGUGUCGGGUGGAAGAUUGAGGAAGACACGUUUAUUUAUUUAGGUUAAAAGUCAAUACUAUGAUUAUAGGGAUUAUUUUUGAAAGUUACUAAACAAAUUACUAAAUUACCCUUAUUUAUUUAUUUAAUUAUUUAAUUUUGAUUGGUCCA